AUGAUUAUAUUUAUAAAACUUGUCAUGAUUAUGAUUACCCUUUUUUCUGAACAUUACUUAUUUAAUGUGGAAACAAUUUAUAGUAUUCGAGUCUCUUAUGAUACUCCCACUAUUCCGAAUGAGAAGAAAUUUGCUUAUGUGGAGAGUAAUAAAAAUUCUAUGCUUGUAGAUCAUGGAAAGAAUGCUUUAUGUGAUGGUUAUAUUGUUGAAUUCAUUCAUGAUGCUGCUGAAAAUUAUUAUGAGGGAGGAAUAUAUACUUGUAGAAAUUGCAAUAAUAUCAAGGUUCCUCUCUAUGUGCUUAUAGUUUUUGAAGUUAUGCUUGUUUUGCCUUCCUAUGCUAGUUGA
rnacentral:rRNA from 1 species